rnacentral:misc_RNA from 1 species
UUUGGACCAACAAUCCCAUCAAAAAGGGAAACACAUUUUGCAUAAUUAGGUUCUUCAUCAAACUUCAAGUUCACCACAUAUUCAACAAACUGUUUGAAAGGCUGCGGACAGAAGCAACAGAGACCCUCUGGGGAUGUUGCCAUCUUUUUCUUACAAACAAGAAAGCCCUUAUUCUCUCCCUGGUAUCCUUGCCAAGGUAAACGACCUCGGAGAAGGAAAAUGAGGGUGUAAGCAAGCGAUUCUAAAUCAUCUCUUCUACUAGCUGUUCUUCCCAAAUGGGCAUGCACACUAGCAUAACGAACUGUUCCUCUAAAAACAUCCGGCCUUUGAUCAUACUCAACAUGAAGACCACUUGAAGUAUCUCGCCAUCUGGUGGCUAAUCCAAGAUCAACAAGAAAUAACUUUUUCUCAUCAGGAGUUCCAGGAGAUCCAAGCAGAAAAUUCUCCGGCUUUACAUCUCCAUGGACAUAACCUCUAGAAUGCAUCUUCUCCAAUAUUGAUAUUGCUUC